rnacentral:lncRNA from 10 species
GGAUCAGCUGAGGCCUCUGUUGCCGCUGCCUCACCGUUCAACUUCUCUCUUUCCUCAAUCUUGCUUCUCUCAUUGCCUUACUGGUGUUUGUCCUGAGAGCAUGCCCUCCACAAAUGUAACAUUUCUCAGAGUGCUAUUAUCAGGAUUUAUGAGAAAGUUGAGGUGCAGAGAGGUCAAGGAACUUGUUGCAGCUCACUGAACUGUGGCUGGUCUACUUGUGGGUACAAAGGCCCAGACCCAUUGUUUCAACUGGAGACCUGUGAAGGGCGAUCCCAGCCUCAGAACCUCGCAUGGGAUGGACUCAGUACUCUGCUGCAACUGCAUUUCAGUUUAACUUCUCCCUUUACCCAGUCCUAACUUCCUUAUUCCCUAAAAAAUGUUUCUGGGAGUGCUCCUCAGUAAACUUCAUGCAUAAACACUUCAGAGGCUCAGAGUAUGUUUCCUGGAGAAUUCCAUCUGUGGCGUUUCCUCUUCAUGCCUACUGCCACCAUCCAGGUUUAGGCCCCCAUUACCGCUUACCUGGAAUAUUGCAAAAGCUUUAUCACUAUUCUCUUUGCUCACUGGCUCUCCUAUAAUCAGUCUACACAACAGCAGACUAAUUUUUUUUAUCCCAGAUCAUAGCUCUUAUGCUGUUUUCCUGCUCAAAAACUUUGGUGGCCCCCCAGUCUAUUUAAUUAGGUUCUUACUCCUUAUUGUGAUUUUCAAGACCCUUCCCAAUUUAGCCCCCACUAUUUUCAGCUCUCAUCUUCUACUCCAGUAUAAGUAUGCUCCGCUCCAUUUAAACUAGAACAUUUGCAAUCCUCCAAAUCUACUGUAAAAAUUCAUUUUUCCUAUAUUUGUUCCAAAUGUUCUCUUCUAUUAUCUUCUUUAUAAAAUUUGAACCAUAUUUCAAGGUCCAUUCUCCUUUUUCUUUUUCAUUUUUUUUCUAGAUGGAGUCUCGCACUGUCGCCCAGGCUAGAGUGCAGUGGCGCGAUCUCGGCUUACUGCAACCUCCGCCUCCUGGGUUCAAGCGAUUCUCCUGCCUCAGCCUUCCGAGUAGCUGGGAUUACAGGUGCCCCCCACCACACCCAGCUAAUUUUUGUAUUUUUAGUAGAGACGGGAUUUCACUGUAUUGGCCAGGCUGGUCUCAAACUCCUAACCUUGUGAUCUACCCACCUCGGCCUCCCAAAGUGCUGGGAUUACAGGCGUGAGCCACUGCUCCUGGCCAGGCUUAAGGUCCAUUGUGAGAGCAAUAUUCAUUCUUGGCAUACCUGUAUCAAUGUAUCUUAUGUACCCCAUAAAUAUAUAUCCCUACUAUGUGACCAAAAAAAUUAAAAAUAAAAUAAAAAUUUAAAACCCAUACAUUCUCCAUGCAGAUUUUCCUCGUACCUCAACCCAAUGUCAUCUCUUCUUCAUUAGUUAUCCCAAUGCAGUUUGUACUUCUCCUUGGUAUCUAUUGAUUAUAUUUACUGUGUGUCAAUUUCACCAUUUUACCUCUCUUCCCUAUCCUUUCACCUGCACUGAUAGAAUGUAACUGUGAGAGCAAGAUUUUACCUCAAUCAUCUUUGUAUCACUUGAAACAAGAAGCAUCAUCCUUAAUCCUGGAGUUCAAUAAAUCAUUAAUAAAUUCAAUUGAAUACAAGCUGCCAAUUUGUUUGACAUUUUUGUGAAUGC